GUCUAUGGCUGUACCACCCUAAAUGCCCCCGAUCUCCUCUGAUCUUGGAAGCUAAGCAGGGUCAGGCCUAGUUAGUACUCAGAUGGGAGAAUAAGAUUUAAUAAAAU
rnacentral:rRNA from 1 species